UGGGGAAUAUUGGACAAUGGGCGAAAGCCUGAUCCAGCCAUGCCGCGUGUGUGAAGAAGGUCUUCGGAUUGUAAAGCACUUUAAGUUGGGAGGAAGGGCAUUAACCUAAUACGUUAGUGUUUUGACGUUACCGACAGAAUAAGCACCGGCUAACUCUGUGCCAGCAGCCGCGGUAAUACAGAGGGGGCAAGCGUUAAUCGGAAUUACUGGGCGUAAAGCGCGCGUAGGUGGGUUGUUAAGUUGGAUGUGAAAUCCCCGGGCUCAACCUGGGAACUGCAUUCAAAACUGACUGACUAGAGUAUGGUAGAGGGUGGUGGAAUUUCCUGUGUAGCGGUGAAAUGCGUAGAUAUAGGAAGGAACACCAGUGGCGAAGGCGACCACCUGGACUAAUACUGACACUGAGGUGCGAAAGCGUGGGGAGCAAACA
rnacentral:rRNA from 1 species